rnacentral:rRNA from 1 species
CUACGGGGCGCUCCAGUCGAGAAUAAUCUACAAUGGACGAAAGUCUGAUAGUGUGACGCCGCGUGGACGAAGAAGCAUUUCGGUGUGUAAAGUCCUUUUCUGUAUGAGCAAUGUAUUUAAGCUUAAUAAGUUUAUGUAUGAGAUAUUAGUACAGGAAUAAGCUCCGGCUAACUCCGUGCCAGCAGCCGCGGUAACACGGGGGGAGCAAGCGUUGUCCGGAAUCACUAGGCGUAAAGGGCAAGUAGGCGGACUAAUAAGUCGGAUGUUAAAUCCAUCGGCUCAACCGAUGUUCAGCAUUCGAUACUGUAAGUCUAGAGUAAGGCGGGGGAAGACGGAAUUCCUGGUGUAGCGGUGGAAUGCGCAGAUAUCAGGAAGAACACCAAUGGCGAAGGCAGUCUUCUACACCAUUACUGACGCUAAAUUGCGAAGGUGUGGGUAUCGAACAGGAUUAGAUACCCCCGUAGUC